UUACCGAAACCAUCUCCAUUCCUUUCUGGCAUACCCUCCACGAGGUACCCAUUAGCAAUCCUCAUUCUUGAUUUGUCUGAAUCACGAUAUCACAAGAGAAUGCAACCAUGAAAUCACUUCUCUUUUUUUGUCUGAACCACGAAAUCACAAGAUCUUUUCCAUUCUUUCAACAUUCUUGAUUUCUCUUUGAUUUCUUGGAUUUUUCUCUACAGCUUAGCAUCUUUUUCCAUUCUGAAGCUUUGGUUUAUCUCAUAUUUUUUUUUUUCGUGAAUUUCAUCUCAGAUUUGCUAUUUCUAUGUCGGUCUGGGAGAUGAAGGGGUUGUGGGUGGGUUGUGGCUGGAGUGAGUGGUCGAUGAGGUGAAAUGGUGAGGUCCAUAUCGAAACCCCAACCCAGCCAUAGCUUCCCUGUGAGAUCCAUUCAACCAAUCUAACAAAUAAAGAUGAACAUUGAUACGAAGAAAAGUGGAUCUAAAAAUGAUUUUGGCUUUUUCAAUUGGGUUUGUGUUGAUGCAGCGUUUGUCUGCUCAACCUUGAAUGCUAUCCAAUGUUAAUCUUCUUCAACACAAUUUUUCCUUUUCAUUCUAUGGUGAACCAAAGAGAGAGUCAAGAUCCAAAAAAGAGAGAGAGAGAGAGAGAGAGAGAGAGAGAGAGAGAGAGAGAGAGAGAGAAUAAGGUGGGGUUGUUAGAGUUCCUUCUUGGCUUUCCAUGGGAGAUCGAGAAUGAUGGCUACAUAUCAGAAUUAGAGAGUGGGAUUGGGUUUAGGUAAGAAGAUCAGUUUGUUGGUUGUGGGAAUUGUUUUAAUCAUUUUAAAAGGUAAAGGGAGGAGGAGGGAUGGUGGCUGGGGAUGAAAGUAAGGGAUAGAGACGGAAAGGGGGUGGGGAGGGGUGGCUGAGGUCGUGAUGGGGUUGGCUGGGUGUGGAAGAGAACGAAAUAGUUAUGGCCGCC
rnacentral:lncRNA from 1 species